UACGGGGGGGGCAAGCGUUGUCCGGAAUUACUGGGCGUAAAGGGCGCGUAGGCGGCCAGACAAAGUCGAGCGUUAAAUUCCAGGGCUUAACCCUGGGCUGUUGCUCGAUACUAGUCGGCUAGAGUGUGGAAGAGGGUGCUGGAAUUCCCGGUGUAGCGGUGAAAUGCGUAGAUAUAGGAAGGAACACCAGUGGCGAAGGCGACCACCUGGGCUCAUACUGACACUGAGGUGCGAAAGCGUGGGGAGCAAACAGG
rnacentral:rRNA from 1 species